rnacentral:rRNA from 1 species
UCGUCAGCUCGUGUCGUGAGAUGUUGGGUUAAGUCCCGCAACGAGCGCAACCCUUGCUAUUAGUUGCUACGCAAGAGCACUCUAAUAGGACUGCCGUUGACAAAACGGAGGAAGGUGGGGACGACGUCAAAUCAUCAUGCCCCUUAUGACCUGGGCUACACACGUACUACAAUGGACAUAAACAGAGGGAAGCAAAACAGCGAUGUGGAGCAAACCCCUAAAAAUGUUCUCAGUUCAGAUUGCAGGCUGCAACCCGCCUGUAUGAAGAUGGAAUUGCUAGUAAUCGCAGAUCAGCAUGCUGCGGUGAAUACGUUCCCGGGCCUUGUACACACCGCCCGUCACACCAUGGGAGCCGGUAAUACCCGAAGUCAGUAGUCUAACCGCAAGGAGGACGCUGCCGAAGGUAGGAUUGGCGACUGGGGUGAAGUCGUAACAAGGUAGCCGUAUCGGAAGGUGCGGCUGGAUCACCUCCUUU